rnacentral:rRNA from 1 species
AUUGUUCUUCAACGAGGCAAUCCCUAGUAAGCACAAGUCAUCAGCUUGUGCUGAUUACGUCCCUGCCCUUUGUACACACCGCCUGUCGCUACUACCGAUUGAAUGGCUUAGUGAGGCCUUCGGAUUGAGAUUCGGAGUUUGGCAACAGACCCUGGGUUUUAAAAAGUUGGUCAAACUUGGUCAUUUAGAGGAAGUAAAAGUCGUUGCCGUUACGGAUCUGUGCCUGUUACCCUUGAG